rnacentral:rRNA from 1 species
AGUAACACGUGGGUAACCUGCCCAGAAGCAGGGGAUAACACCUGGAAACAGAUGCUAAUACCGUAUAACAGAGAAAACCGCUUGGUUUUCUUUUAAAAGAUGGCUCUGCUAUCACUUCUGGAUGGACCCGCGGCGCAUUAGCUAGUUGGUGAGGUAACGGCUCACCAAGGCGAUGAUGCGUAGCCGACCUGAGAGGGUAAUCGGCCACAUUGGGACUGAGACACGGCCCAG